GCCUAGUUAGCUUAGUUGGUAGUGCGUCUGCCUUGUAAGCGCUAGGCCGCGGGUUCGAUCCCCGCCCGGGGCG
rfam:Asian citrus Psyllid, Diaphorina citri - Florida Strain, whole genome shotgun sequence.